CAGUUGCCAUGGGCUUAACCAUCUAUUUAUAGUUAGAGAAACAGAGUUUAGAGCGGUGCUCUCUUCUUCCCUCUGAAGUAUUUACCUAACAUUCCUUAAUCCAUGAAGACAUUUCUCUGUGACUCCUUUGUCCAUGUACUCCUUCAGAGAAGUGGCAUGCUUUCAAAGCACAAAGGAUUAUUGCAAGUCACUGUGGGCAAAUAAGUCUAGCAUAGAUUUGGGACAUUGAAAAUAUAAGAAAAUUACCAUGUCCUCACAUCGUAGGAAAGGGUGUCUUUUUAUAUCUAGAUAUCACUUACUUUCAGGAUGAUAAUUGAUCUAUUGUCAUUAAUUUGCCACACAUUUAUGAGAACCAACUACGUGCAAAGCACAAUUAACACUUCGAGAAACUGCUUUUGACUUCUGAAAGAGGAUUUAUUUGCACGGCUACACCCUGAAAUAGCAAAGCGUUAUUGGCUGCUUCUUUAGAAUCCUGGUUGGAGCUUGGAAAGUAAACCCUUAACAUAUUUACAUAGAAGUAGGAAAAUCGGUCUCCCCAACGUGAAGGGGCAAGUAAGGCCUAGGAGAAAGUGGCCACUGUAGGCAAUUUACCCCCAGAGCCAGCAGCUCCCUUUGCAGUCAAGACACAGCCCCACCUGAGCCCCCUGGCACGGCCACAUACAUGGGUGAGGAGGCCCAGUUUCUCCUGUGGAAAGCAGAGCUUCUAAAAUGAACUCUGGCAGUUUAACACCAGGCAGUCUUCCCUAGAGUGGGAGCACCUGAGUCUCCCCUCCCGCCCCAUAGCCUGAGUCUAUACAGCUUCCUAGAGCGAGCAGCUGCUCUUCCUUGGGUGGGGCCCCCUCAUGGCAGUGAUCCCUGCCUGCCUGGGCUCUGUGGCCCAGACUUAUAGCUAGCUGGUUUCCCUCUUCAGACUAGCUUCCUCGCCAGCCUGACUGAUCCCAACACCUAAUCUAACCUCCUACCUCCCACUAAGGGAGCCACUGUCACUCUGCAGGGCUCAUGUCGAUUAACACAGGCAGCAGGGGGAGAAGUGGGCUGGGCCUCUGGUCAGCAUCCCCCUACCACACGUUUCUCUGUAAACGGCCAUUUCAGAGUCCUGUUCAGGAUCCCUGUCAGAAACCCCACCAACAAGGAGCCAGGAGGGGACAGAGCUCCACAUUUGAAACCUUCGAAGCCAGAGGGAAUGUUAAGUCUUUUCCAUGGCUGAGCAUCAGGCUGGCAGAGCACAGAGCAUUUGGUGUGCCCCACAUAUUGUCUACCAAGUCUGAGUUAUAUGAACACACACCAGCUGGACAGUAGGAGGAAGCAGCUAAGAAACCAGUCUGGGACAGAACAUUCGCCUUGGGUGACUGAUGUGCAAAUAACGAAGAGUGGCUAUGGUUUGCAGCCCAGUUGUCUCCCGAAGGUGACAGCAUUAAAAUCAAGACCCACUUCUAGUGUGCCCUGGAAUUUGCAUACUCUUACUAAGAGUCAAAGAGUCUGGGUCAAUCUAAAAUUACAGCAUUUGGUUGCAAAAGUAGACCCACCUAUUCCCCUGUGUAGCUAUCCUCUUAACUCUGAAUUGUAGCUCUCCUUAUCAAGCAGUAGAGUCUGCGUCCCCACUUCUUGCCUCUGGACUGGCCUUCUGACUUGCUGUGACCCAUAAAAUGAAGCAAAAGGAGUGGCAUGCCGUAUCCAAGCCUAGGCAUCCAGCGGCCCCGCGCGCUUCACUCCCUCUCUUGGAAUGCUGCCUUGGGCAUGAGCCCAAACCUGGGCUAGCUGCUAGGAUGAGAGACCACACAGACCCAAGCUGAGGUCCCAGAUACGUGAGAGAGCCCAGCCAAGAUGAGCAAAGUCACUCUGCUAACGGAGUGCACACAAAUGAGAGUCUCCCUGGGACCUGAACUCUCCACCUGACCCACACACUCACGACUUACAUAAAUGCUUAUUGCUGUAAGCCACUGCGUUUUGUGGUUGUUUCUUACAUAGCCUUAUUGUGGCAACAGACAACUGGCACAGAACUUCUUCGCUGUGCUAGUUU
rnacentral:lncRNA from 1 species